rnacentral:pre_miRNA from 1 species
AGCCUUCUGUAUCCGUGCUGAGAUUUCGUCACACACCAGACCGCAAGGACUCCCAAGAUAAGUGAAGCG